GCGACCUGGGUUGGGGGGGGGGACAGCAACAACGUCAGCCGCUACCAACAAAUCAAGGAAAUCAGGUAUUUGAUUAUGCUCAUUUUUUUAAAAUUGUGUCUGUAAGCCCAAUUGCUUCAUUUUGUGUCCUCCAUGAACUUCCUGCAUUCCCAAUAAUGGUGAGAGGGUGGGGUGGGAUGGAAACCUGCCGCACCACAACAGCAGACUCCUUCAACUCUGACAGCGCAAACAUUCAUGAUUCUGAUAUGAUUUCGGACGUUGUGUCAGGACGGAUGAGGAAUGAGUCUCAGCCCUAAGGGGCCACGAGCGGAGUCAAGAUAGCAUGGCUUUGGUCCCGCCCACCUGAGCCUUGCUUCCUGCUUCUCCCGGCUUCUCGUAAGCCGUGAGCAACAUGUCCCGACCGGGGCGGCGAACGACAGACCUCCUUAGAGGCAGCCAGCCAUCCGGGGGAAUCUGCUGCAGGCGUUGGGACAAACGGCAAAGAGUGGUGGCGGUGGCGGCGGCGGCGGCGGCAGCCAACUGCAGGCUUUGGCAGAUGAGGACAUGGCGUCUUAUGGGGGCGGGGGUGCUGCACGGGCGUGAUCGGCACACCUUUGGCCAUGUGACCUCAUGUGCUCAUCACCAAGGCGCUAACAGAACGCCGCACACGUUGUCGGGGCUUGCCGGCGGCGCGUCGUACUCACCACCAGAUGGGAUAGCCUCCGAGCACCCGCGAGCCGCACAGCCACACGCACAGCAAAUAUCCAAUCAGGUACAAAUCCAUGAGGCCAGCCUGGUUGCGAGCUUCAACGCAUGGAAGCUCCACUUUCCCUCAAAAUUUUUUGGGGGGAAAUUUUCAGGAGCGACACACAGAGGAGGAUUCAAUUGAAAAUGUCGAAAAGAAGAAGCAGCGUCCUGUUGUUCGUGUCAGGCCGGGAAAGUGUGCGAGGCUCCUGGUGGCUGCCAGAAAGAAAAAGUUCCUGUGCGACACAUCCUGGAAGUGUUUGGUUGGAUCAUAUCUCUGCCUUUUGUUGGAAUUCCCUUUAAGAUGAGAAACAAAGAGAGACAAGAACACUUGGUGCUAAAGAAACCCUUUUCAUGAGAGCAGCAAACACUCCAUCCAAUGUUUGUGGGGGGGGGGGGGGCAUGGUGAUAGGCCACUUUUGAGCCGGACACUGAGGCGUCCUAAUUAAAGGCCACUUAUGCCCCACAAAGUGCUGCGUUGCAGGUUGGUGUCAUUGAAGGAGGAGGCGGGGGGGGUCGGGGAUUCAUGGCACUCGUAAACAAGGAGAACCCAGGACAGCGGGGAUGGAAAGGACUUUGUUCACACAAGAUGAAGAGUCAACAGCUCCCCCCCUCCUGCCUAGAAAAAAAAAUUCCACCCCCGUCAUCAGCCAUCUCCUCUAAUAAGCAGCACCUACACAGGAGCAGCGACUACAAUGCCGGCAGCUCACUCGCUCCCCUCCUCUUGCUCUCAAUCACUGCUGGGACAAUAAGGGGGAACCCCCUAAUGCCCCCACCUCCACCACACCGCCCCCCCUUUGAAACAGACACUUCUUUUAUUGAAAUUCUUUGCUGUUCUAAUCCUCCGCUUCCUCCAAGCCCAAUAAUGGACUCCCUGCAUCAUCAGCCUUUUCCAGCCCAAGCCGCUGUCACGUCACAACCCGGUCCGGGUCACAAGUCCACCCUCUCGCCCGCCCUCCUCGUUCCGCUGACAGGUGUAUCUGCAAAGAUAUGGCAAAUUUGUUUCGUUUAAACCCAAAGAUAAAAAUAGCAAAAACAAAAAAAUACAAAUAAUGAAAUAUAGAAAUAUUUAUGCAUCAUAUCUUGGCAUGUUUAAAUUAUGUUGUAUUUUUUAUUUUAUUUUUAUUCAUUUAUGGCCGAUUAACUAAAUAAAUGUGUGUCUACUAA